GCCGAUUUAGCUCAGUUGGCUAGAGCGCCAGGCUUUUAACCUGGUGGUCGUGGGUUCGAGUUGUUCAAUCCACG
rnacentral:tRNA from 1 species